AUGCGUAUGUUGAGAUGGAUGUGUGGCCACACGAGGAAGGAUCAAGUCCGGAAUGAUGAUAUACGAGAUAGAGUUGGGGUAGCACCAAUUGAGGAGAAGCUUGUCCAACAUCGUUUGAGAUGGUUUGGGCAUAUUCAGCGCAGGCCUACAGAAGCUCCAGUGCAUAGCGGACGGCUAAAGCGUGCGGAGAAUGUCAAGAGAGGGCGGGGUCGACCAAUUUUGACAUGGGAGGAGUCCGUUAAGAGAGACCUGAAGGAUUGGAGUAUCGACAAAGAGCUAGCUAUGGACAGGGGUGCGUGGAAGCUUGCUAUCCAUGUGCCAGAGCCAUGA
rnacentral:rRNA from 1 species